rnacentral:rRNA from 1 species
GGCGGCGUGCCUAACACAUGCAAGUCGAGCGAGGAGAUCCUUCGGGAUGAUCCUAGCGGCGGACGGGUGAGUAACACGUGGGCAACCUGCCUCAUAGAGAGGAAUAGCCUUCCGAAAGGGAGAUUAAUACCUCAUAACAUUGCAGUUUCGCAUGGAACAGCAAUUAAAGGAGUAAUCCGCUAUGAGAUGGGCCCGCGGCGCAUUAGCUAGUUGGUGAGGUAACGGCUCACCAAGGCGACGAUGCGUAGCCGACCUGAGAGGGUGAUCGGCCACAUUGGGACUGAGACACGGCCCAGACUCCUACGGGAGGCAGCAGUGGGGAAUAUUGCACAAUGGGGGAAACCCUGAUGCAGCCAACGCCGCGUGAGUGAUGACGGCCUUCGGGUUGUAAAGCUCUGUCUUCAGGGACGAUAAUGACGGUACCUGAGGAGGAAGCCACGGCUAACUACGUGCCAGCAGCAGC